rnacentral:rRNA from 1 species
AUGCAGGAGAGCGAAUGGAAGGAGAUGAAAUUGUUCAAAAUCCAAGUUGCUAGGAAAUAUAAAACCCUCAAUGACCAGCAAAAAAUUGCUGCUUGUGUAGCAAUGCAUACACUAUGUAUGAGUAAAGGAGACACUUUUUUGGGAACUGCUAAGCAAGACAUUGCAAAUACCUUUGGAGUAGGUGUUUGGAAUAUACAAAGAAUUUGGAGGAAAGCAAUGAAGCAAAUUAGAGAAGGACUAGAGGUGGAUGUUUCUAAUAAAAAAGGAAAUUCUCGAAGAAAGCCUAAGGACAUUAACCUAGAAAAAAUCCUAACGAUCCCAUUAAACAAGAGGUCCACCAUUAGGUUACUUGCUUGGCAACUGGGAUGUAGCCCUACCACACAGAAAGUUCAUGUUAAACUUGAUAAGGAGGCAUACAAACUAUGUGAAGCCAGCUCUACGGGACCAGAAUAA